GACUCAAAGAGCAUAAAAAUGAUAUCAAAGCCGGCAGAAUUACAAUGGCCCUAGCGGAGCAAGCAUAUCAUAACGAUUUACAUAUAGAAUGGGACCGCACGGAAAUUAUAAGGCCAAUUAAAGUACCAACACAGGCAAUAACCCAAGAGACAAUUAAGAUAUUAAAAGCGAAGGACACCCUAAUAAACGACAAGCCAUCUGCAGACUUACCAGCGGCCUGGAGGUACAUGUUAAGAAAUUGUAAAUGAAACCAUAUUAGACCAAAAGAGGGGAAGUCAUACGUGCAUAGAUACCUGCCAGUUAA
rnacentral:lncRNA from 1 species